rnacentral:rRNA from 1 species
AGAGAGAGACAUGCGCGCAUAUCAAUAAGCGGAGGAAAAGAAACUAACAAGGAUUCCCUUAGUAACGGCGAGUGAAGCGGGAAGAGCUCAAAUUUGAAAUCUUCAAGGUUUUACCUUGACGAAUUGUAGUUUAAAGAAGUGUUUUCUGUUGAAGUUUUGGUAAAAGUUCUUUGGAAUAGGACAUCAUAGAGGGUGAGAAUCCCGUAUUUGACCAUUAUUUUCAGCUGUGUGAUACACUUUCAAAGAGUCGGAUUGUUUGGGAAUGCAGUCCAAAAUGGGUGGUAAAUUUCAUCUAAAGCUAAAUAUUGGCGAGAGACCGAUAGCGAACAAGUACCGUGAGGGAAAGAUGAAAAGAACUUUGAAAAGAGAGUUAAACAGUACGUGAAAUUGUCAAAAGGGAAGCGUUCGACACCAGUGUCGUUUUCUCGAAAAUCAAUUAAAAAAGGAUUGGAUUUUGUGUUGUAUUGACUUUAUCAGCUUUCUGCACUCUUUUCUUGUCUUUUUUAAUGCACUUUUCGUUUAACAAGUCAACAUCAAUUUCUUUUGUUGUAAAAGGGUCAUUGGAAGGUGGCUUUCUUUUCGGAGAAAGUGUUUAUAGCCUUUGGCUUCUGCAAUCGGAGAGAUUGAGGUCUGCAGCGUAGAUCCUUCGGGGUUAGAUACAUUUGUGCUAAGUUAUAGCCUUUCAUAGACAACUUGUUGACUAUGAUCAGUCAUGUAGCUUACUCGCUUAUGCUAUUUUACCUACGCUUAGGAUGUUGACAGCAGUAUAGACUGU